AGAGAGGAAAAUGUGAAGGAGAAACUCUCCCAUUUUUGCCAUGUUCCGGCAGCAAAUAUUAUCACUUUGUAUGAUGUUUCCAAUAUCUGGCGCAUUCCUUUGUUGCUACAUG